AGGACUGGAGCAUAGAGCGUAAACAACUAAUUACCCAGAGAGAAGAACUUGUGAGCCCUGGUGUGACGGUGCAUCUGGUACCUCCUGCCAGAGCAACAACAAAUACAGAGUAACUCCCAGAACUGUUCCUGGACACCACAUGGUCAUAGUUGUAGGUGACCUUCUCCUCUGAACCCCGCUGGGAUGAAACCUCCUCCCCGUCCUUGCAGAAGAUGAUGCGGGUGGCCAGGAGCUGGGACAGCACGGAGCACUGGAGCCGCAUGGAGUCCCCUGGCUGGGCAGACGUCUGGCUCAGGUCCUGCUUCCCUUCUCCUGGCCCAAACCUCAGGGCAGCCUGGGCAGAAUUAGACCCAUCUCUCCAGCCCUAUGGAUGGAGCCAGAUGCUGCAGGACUAGAGAGCGACAGGCUGCUGCUCAGAAGAAGGAAGAGAGAGGAUAGUCACUGCUGUGAGCUGGGGGCUCCUGCUCCUCAACUAUCUGCACACACAGCCCAGCUGCUCUGUGCAGCUGCAGAGGGAGGGAACCACAGGACGAGCUGACAGCACCCUGAGCAUCUUCUCAUGCCUAGCCUGAGCUAGCUCUCCCCGGCCUGACUGAGUUAGCAGCCCAGCGAGGUGGGGGUGUAUC